AUGAAGUGCUCGGCCCUAAGGAAACUCAUGGUGGAAGUGGGUGGGGUGGCCUGGCAGUCACACCUUGGGGACCUUGCCCAUGACACCCUCCUCCCACUGUCUCUUCUUAGAACCAGCCGAUUUCCCCAGGUUUCCAUUUCCUCUUCUGUACAGUUGCCUCCCUGUGACAAUGUUUCCCAGCAGAGUGGAAAAAGCCUGUUUGGGUCUCAGGGAAAAAAAUUAAAAAGCUGGCUCAAGACCAAACUUGUAAGAAAUGCCCUCCUGCUGGUGGCCCCCUUCCUCUCCCACCCCCCCUUCCCUCUUAGGAAUCAAGAUGAAGGUCAUGGAGGUUUGCCCAUACCAGUGGGAAAUGUGGAGCUGGGACCCAAGGAGUGAGUGCAUUUUGUUCCUCCAUGUUGCUUCUCAAAAGAAAUACCAGCUCUUUGCUGCCCCAUUUACCCUCAUCCUCUUCCCCAAAUGACCACGUUUCUUGUUUUGUUUUUCAGCAUCUUCUCAGCCAGCCACCGUGCAUGUGACUUCCCUGGUUGAUCCAGCCAACUGCAGGACCAAGAUAUUUCUAGUGCAAGAUAGGAGAGAUGAGUAAUAGAGACCACAGCCCUUGGAAACCUUGAUCAAGUAGAAUAAGAACACCUUCCUCAGCUCUCUUUGCAAGUGGCCAAAGCUUAGUGGCUCUGGGAGAAAAAUUCAACAGGAAAACCUACAGAAGUGCCUUGAGAAAGGACCACAGUAGCCUCUUCUAAGCCAAAUUGAGUAAAUAAAAAUGAGUGCUAUUAAAAUAUCCA
rnacentral:lncRNA from 1 species